ACAUGCCUACAACAUAGCGUUAAUGCACCGAAUCCCAUUAGAAAUCCGUAUUUAAGCGCACUUAGGAUAGAGUAGUAUUGGGAUGGGUGAUCGCUCGAGAAGUCCUAGUGUUUUACAUGCC
rnacentral:rRNA from 1 species